AGUCGGGCCCUGGAUGACCGGUAGAGGUGAACUCCGCCAGGCCCGGAAGGGAGCAACGGUAGCCUCGAUCCCGGGGUGUCCAGCCAGCCCGGCUGUC
rnacentral:SRP_RNA from 1 species